GAGACUCUGUGCGCGUGCAUAUCAAUAAGCGGAGGAAAAGAAACUAACAAGGAUUCCCUUAGUAACGGCGAGUGAAGCGGGAAGAGCUCAAAUCUGAAAUCUUCAAGGUUCUACCUUGACGAAUUGUAGUUUAAAGAAGUGUUUUCUGUUAGUGGAGUGGCAAAAGUUCUCUGGAAUAGGACAUCAUAGAGGGUGAGAAUCCCGUAUUUGGUCAUUCCUUCUAGCUUUGUGAUACACUUUCAAAGAGUCGGAUUGUUUGGGAAUGCAGUCCAAAAUGGGUGGUAAAUUUCAUCUAAAGCUAAAUAUUGGCGAGAGACCGAUAGCGAACAAGUACCGUGAGGGAAAGAUGAAAAGAACUCUGAAAAGAGAGUUAAACAGUACGUGAAAUUGUCAAAAGGGAAGCGUUUGACACCAGUGUUGUUUUUCUCGAAAAUCAAUUAUAAAUGGCUGAUUUUGUGGAGUGUAUUGACUUUAUCAGGCUUUCUUCAUCUUUUCACUGUAACUUUUGUAAUGCACUUUUCGGUUAACAAGUCAACAUCAAUUUCUUUUGUUGUAAAAGAGUCAUUGGAAGGUGGCUUUUCUUUCGGAGAAAGUGUUUAUAGCCCUUAUGCUUCUACAAUCGGAGAGAUUGAGGUCUGCAGCGUAGAUCCUUCGGGGUUAGACUACAUUUGUGCUAAGUUAUAGCUUUUCAUAGACAACUUGUUGACUAUGUUUAGUCUUGUAGCUUACUCGCUUAUGCUAUUUUACCUACGCUUAGGAUGUUGAAGAUGUAGCACAUCAU
rnacentral:rRNA from 1 species